AGCAGUCGCCGCGGGAAUACGUAGGGUGCAAGCGUUAAUCGGAAUUACUGGGCGUAAAGCGUACGCAGGCGGUUUCUUAAGUCUGAUGUGAAAGCCCCCGGCUCAACCGGGGAGGGUCAUUGGAAACUGGGAAACUUGAGCGCAGAAGAGGAGAGUGGAAUUCCACGUGUAGCGGUGAAAUGCGUAGAGAUGUGGAGGAACACCAGUGGCGAAGGCGACUCUCUGGUCUGUAACUGACGCUGAGGAGCGAAAGCGUGGGGAGCGAACAGGAUUAGAUACCCCUGUAGUCCCUGUCUCUUAUAC
rnacentral:rRNA from 1 species